GGCGCCGUGGCCGAGUGGUUAGGCAGAGGCCUGCAAAGCCUCGUACAGCAGUUCGAAUCUGCUCGGCGCCU
rnacentral:tRNA from 1 species